rnacentral:rRNA from 1 species
GUAAUGGCUCACCAAGGCUAUGACGCCUAUCUGGUCUGAGAGGAUGAUCAGACACACUGGAACUGAGACACGGUCCAGACUCCUACGGGAGGCAGCAGUGGGGAAUAUUACACAAUGGAGGAAACUCUGAUGUAGCAACGCCGCGUGGAGGAUGACACACUUCGGUGCGUAAACUCCUUUUAUGUGAGAAGAUAAUGACGGUAUCACAUGAAUAAGCACCGGCUAACUCCGUGCCAGCAGCCGCGGUAAUACGGAGGGUGUAAGCGUUACUCGGAAUCACUGGGCGUAAAGCGCGCGCAGGCGGCUUUGUAAGUUGGAUGUGAAAUCCUAUGGCUCAACCAUGGAACUGCAUCCAAAACUACUUAGCUAGAGUCUGGGAGGGGAAGAUGGAAUUAGUGGUGUAGGGGUAAAAUCCGUAGAGAUCACUAGGAUACAAAGCGAAGGCGAUCUCUGGAACAGUACUGACGCUGAGGCGCGAAAGCGUGGGGAGCAAACGGGAUUAGAUACCUGGUAGUCACGCCCUAAACGAUGAAUGUUAGUCGUCGGGAGGCUUGUCCUUUCGGUGAUGCAGCUAACGCAUUAAACAUUCCGCCUGGGGAGUACGGUCGCAAGAUUAAAACUCAAAGGAAUAGACGGGGACCCGCACAAGUGGUGGAGCAUGUGGUUUAAUUCGAAGAUACGCGAAGAACCUUACCUGGCCUUGACAUUGAUAGAAUCUGCUAGAGAUAGCGGAGUGCCCUUCGGGGAGCUUGAAAACAGGUGCUGCACGGCUGUCGUCAGCUCGUGUCGUGAGAUGUUGGGUUAAGUCCCGCAACGAGCGCAACCCUCGUCACUAGUUACUAACGGUUCGGCCGAGGACUCUAGUGAGACUGCCUUCGCAAGGAGGAGGAAGGUGAGGACGACGUCAAGUCAUCAUGGCCCUUACGGCCAGGGCGACACACGUGCUACAAUGGGAUGUACAAUGAGACGCAAUACCGCGAGGUGGAGCAAAUCUAUAAAGCAUCUCUCAGUUCGGAUUGUAGUCUGCAACUCGACUGCAUGAAGCUGGAAUCACUAGUAAUCGUAGAUCAGCCAUGCUACGGUGAAUACGUUCCCGGGUCUUGUACUCACCGCCCGUCACACCAUGGGAGUUGAUUUCACCCGAA